rnacentral:misc_RNA from 1 species
UGCCUUUCCUCAUCUCUGUCUACCGUACACCCCUCGCACAUCCUUCACUCCCCCGCCCUUCUAUUCCCGGGCAAACGCCGCACCACUGCUGACGAGUGGCAGGGCCCAGGCACCCACGGCGUGGCGAGGUCAGAGGGAUGUAUUGCUGCUGAUGUCGGCGGCCAGACCCUGGAGGGCGCUGCGUCGGAGCGACCUGCGACGACACACACGUUGGCGCCGUCCACAUCAUGGGCGGGGUGUCGGCGUGACUCAGGUGUAUGCCACCCCCAGCCCUGGCUGCCCUGCUGGUGGGGUGGGGGGAGCCUGAGGAGGAUGGAGUGGGCAGAGCUUGCGGCAGGGGCGCUGCUGCGGUGACGGAUUCGGCGCACUGCUGUACCGCGCGUGUCUGGCGGCUGCCUCGCACGGGGUGACGAGGGCUUGUGACUGGAGCCACUGCGAAGGCAGCCGGACCAGCGUAGACGCUGAAAAAAGUGGUGUGGCAGUCGCUGCGGACUGGACGCGUUGGAAAAUACCUCACAUGAGGAAGAAUGUCUCCGGUACUUCCUUCUUGUGUGCUGCAGCUGUGCAUCACGUGCUGUGGAUGUCGUGUGCCCUUCGGUGUGUAUCAGUGCGCGUGAGCCCGUGCGCUCGUGUGCCCUCCAACUUCUCCUUUCGAAAGGGAAACAACCGAACGCAGCGGUAUAUGUCUGUAUGGUUUGCGGAAGGGGGGAGGAGGAGAACGAAGAGGCGGGGGCGACGCAUCACCUCUGCCGCUCGUCUUGUAGAAGCUGUGGCGCGCAGCUCACUUUCUCUCGCUCCUUUUUUUUUCGACACACACACACACACACACACACACAGAGCGGGACAGGAGGAGAGAGGAGGUGCCGAUGUGCGUGUCUGUGGAGAGGUGCUCUUGCUUAUAUGUGUAAUUUUCCUUCGAGGCUGUUCGGCCACCACCGCCUCCCUUUUCCUGCUCUCUUCUUCGACCAGCACACGACGAGCUCAUCACCCCUCCGUUGUGAUGUGCGACUUUCUUUAGCCGUUGUUUCUUUUUCUGUUAUUCUCAUUGUUGUCAUCGCCCCUUCUUCUGUCCCCGAGCGCUCUACCCCCCCCCCCCCCCCACCACCACACCCUCCCCUUCCGUCAAGUGUGUUCAUGCUCACACCGAGAGAGAGGCACGCACGCACACGCACAGCGAUCAUCGCGCCCACGGCACCGUACGAACGCGCACGGUUGCAUGUCAGCGCCGGUGCCUGUCUCAAGCAGAUGAGGGGAGUGGAGAAAAGUGCUUUCUCCUUUUUCUGCCCGGCCCCUGCUCGUGUUCUUGGGCUCGUUUUUUUAUUGUCUUGGCGUGUGCGGUGCACUUACUGGCGCGGUAGCGGCAGCUUACUGCCGUCAUGGCUGCUUGUCGCUUGUGGGCCCGUGAUAAUGGAGACGGAGGACGAGGAACAUGUGUAUGUAUGUACGUGUGUGCGGGGGGUGGAGGGUGGGCCAUGUGGCGUGUGCAUGUCCGCCUCGGUUUCUCCGUAUUGUAUGCUCCCUCUCCCAGCACUGUAUCCCCCCUUUUGUUGGUCCCUUCAUGGCGAGAGAGUAAGACGCUUC